rnacentral:rRNA from 1 species
GGAGGCGAAGCUAACGCGUUAAGUUGACCGCCUGGGUAGUACGGCCGCAAGGCUAAAACUCAAAGGAAUAGACGGGGGCUUGCACAAGCGGUGGAGCGUGUGGCUUAAUUCGUCGCUAAGCGAAGAACCUUACCAGGGCUAGAAAUCCUACUGCACGCCUAUCGAAAGAUAGGAAGCCUUCGAGGGUGUAGGACAGGUGAUGCAUGGCUGUCGUCAGUUCGUGGUUUGAAUCGUUCCCUUCAGUGGGGUAACGAACGCAACCCUCGUUGCCUGUUACAAGUGUCAGGCGAGACUGCCCCCUCACGGGGGAGGAAGGUGGGGAUGACGCCAAGUCAGCAUGUCCCUCUGAUGUCCUGGGCUGCACACGCGCUACAAUCGCCGUUACAAAGGGGCGCAAUGGGGUAACCCGGAGCAAAUCCUUAAAAGCGGCGCCAGUUCGGAUUGAGGUCUGCAACUCGACCUCAUGAAGCCGGAAUCGCUAGUAAUCGCGGGUCAGCCAUACCGCGGUGAAUACGUUCUCAAGCUUUGUACUCGGGUCGCCAUGCGAUCGAGUAUGCUAGAUGGUGAAAGUCCAUCCGCGAUUCACAGAAGUUGCGAAGUGAAAUCCCAGUACACGGGCGCGAGUCCGUGUGUGAAGGGGGAAAGUAGCAGUAAGUAGUUUGAAUGUCAGUUAGUGGCGUCAAGCGGAUGCGAUUCCUCGAGUACAGGAAGAAGCAUUCUGUGAACAAAGCCGUUUGACGUGUAGUGACAUCGAAAUACUUAUACACAGUGUAUUCGGUUACCGUGGGAGAUCUCGCAAAGUCCUCGAGGUAAGAUUACCUUGAGGUAUGAGCCGCGGCUCAAAUACAAUGCGAGAAGUCAGCAGAGUUCAUAGUACCAGACGGUUAAAAUUGUGGUCUGAAAAGGAUCGCCGGCGCAAUAAAAAAUUGCAGCCGCCGUAUGGGAAGGAACAAAUUCGUAGGAAGAAAAAAUUGAAUCCGCACUAUGUUGCAGGAUUCAUCGAUGGCGAAGGAUGUUUCUCUGUCUCGAUCGGUAAACACAAGACCCUCAAACGAGGGUAUGAAGUUCGGCCGGAAUUCGAGAUAGAAGUCCGUAAGGACGAUCAAGAGGUGCUUGAGAGAAUCGUCAUGACCAUUGGAGCGGGAAGGAUAUACGACUGUUCGUACGAAAGGUACGGAUGGUUCCCACAUGCGAAGUAUAAAAUUACGAGCAUUUGGGAAAUGAAAGAGAUACUCUUUCCGUUUCUCGACCAGUAUCCCUUACAAGCGAAGAAGGCGAAGUCGUACAAGUAUUUUCGAGAGAUCGUCUUGAUGCUCUGCAAUAAGGAACAUUUGAGCGACAAAGGAUUCAAGAAAAUAUUCCGACUUCGCGCGGAACUUCGCAUGCUGGGGAAGAAGGCGAGAACCUACGGAAGCCGCGAGGGUGCGGGAAAACCGCUUGCCCCGUGGCGUUCAAAUGUUGCAAUGUAAAUUGCAGCACGAGAAAUACCGCCCGUCAAGUCAGGGAAGUUGGGAGUGCCCGAAGC